GCUAGAGAUUAUCUACCAAUCGUUUAUUGACAAGUUGAACAAGCGAUUCUAGCUUCGACAUUAUAUCUAAGACUUACUGAACCUUUACUUAUCAAAUCAAAUAUGAGCCAAUAUUACGAACCAAGUGCAAAUCCAAGGCGUCGUUUUCAAGUAAGUGUGGCACUUCCAAAUAUAGGGAGUAAAAAGUUUGAUGUUUAUCCAGAAACGACAGUAUCGGAACUUAAACGUAAUAUAUAUGAACAAUAUAAGGUGAAUGUAUCACCAUUAACAUUCCGUGGUACAACUCUCGAAGAUGACCACACAAUGGAGUACUGCGGAUUAGUGACAUUAUAAAACAACUAUCAACUUGGUUAUCAGAGUAAAAGGGGAAUAGCGUAAUAUUGAUUGAUUGACAUGACUUCUACCUAGCAUGAAAACAGUAAAAGGGAAACAAGUUAGCUGAUUCGUGCACUUGUAAUGAGGAAUGAACCAACAAAAUGAACCUGGAACUACAGAUAAAUAAACUACAGAUAAGCCAAAUGGUUACUUGUAGGCCUAUAAGAGCAUACCCAAAUAAUUAUAUAUAGGAAAGCAUAUAAUAUGGUAUGGAUAUGUGUAAACAUACAUAAAGGAUAAAAAGGUAGAUUCACAAAGCUAUUAACAAUAUUUGAAUAAAGCAUUGUUUAACUUUAAGUUCGUUAAUACUAAUUAAAUUAUUAUAGUAUAUCUCACAAUAAUAAUUUUCGAAAUGUAAUGUAAAAAAAAAUCAAAAUAUGGCUCCUUGUUGCUUUGCUUAAAUUUAACAUCUUCAAUACUAAUUUACAAUAAUAAUUUUCAUAAUAAGUUUAAAAAUGUCAUUUAAAUACAUAUACAUAAUUGGCAAAAAAUAAAAAAAUUUGACACAAAGACUUCGAUAAGUGGUGGUGGUGGUAAUGAUAAUGCCUCUCUCUCUUUAGUCCGAUAACGCAAAUUGCGCAACACUCCCAAUCAGCAGCAGACGAUGAUGCUAUCGCCAGUCCUUGUCCAGUCCAUUCCUUAAGUCCAUUAUCCAUAAUGUUGUUGGUCGUCCUCUUAUGAUGUUAAUGGUGACUAUGCUGAUGAUGACGACGAGGCUGGUAAUAGUGGUUGCGGUAAUUAUGAUGCUAUUUAUGAUGGUGACGACAUGUAGGACUCGAUUAUUGGCUAAACCUAUAUUGGUUACUAUAGCAAAUCACACUAUAGAGUUGUUAUGAAUUAUAGUCUAAUGCGUCUUCUCUACCUCAUCAGGCUAUCACUUACAUGUAUCCUCAAUAUAUAAUAUAUACCAAUAAUGUAAACAGAAAUUCUAUUUUAUAUGUCGUAAAAAAGGUUUUUCUACAGUAUCUUGCAAUAUCAUAACGAAGAUCAGCAUCAAGCAUAAUAUACUCUUAGUCAAAACAAUUUUGAAGUUUUAAAUAUAAAGUUAAUUAAUUGUGCACAUCUCACAUUAUCAAAUACUUGCUUAUUCACUGUGGAGGAAAAUUUGAAAAAAAUAAUUAAAAUUGUGUAUGUUCCGUGGAUUAUACAAAAAAAAACCUAAAAGUUGUUUUGCCCUACAAAGACUACUGCCAAAUUAUUUACAGAAAUUUAACGUUUACAAUUGGUGCAAGUUCUCGAAUGUUUAGUAUAUGCAAUUAGCACUCAAAAUCUACAAAUUUUUAUGUUAAAUGCGGCUGUCGCAGAAACUUCAAAAUAUGAUGAAAUGAAUGUGCACCAUGCUCUGAUAUCUAAAAAUGCAUUUUCCCUUUCUUAAAACAGAUAUUCUUUUGACAGCAGAAGUGUAAUUAGAAUAAUUAGUAUGCAGAAUAUGUAUUUAUACUUCCUAUUCAAAUAAAUGUUUUUAGAUAUCUAAAUCCUUCCUGAAAGUACAAGCACUUACUCCAUCGAAUUGGAAGUUUUAAGUUGAUACUAUUACACAUUUUAUUUUCUAUUAAAGCUCAAUCAAAUUAUUACUCUUUCUCUAACCUAGUCUUAUAUAACGAGAUAUAUUAUAUACUCUUCUUUUUCCCUGUUAUUUGGUUAAAAUAUACAGAUUUUUGAAUGUUUUAAAACUGCGAGAAAGAAGUGGUUAUUCAUUUUUCCCAGUAUAUGAUUAUUAAAAUUUAUACGUCGGUUUUGACGUCAUUGAUAUCUCUUUUUGCAUGAAUGAUUUUUUUUUUAUUGUUAGUCAAAUUUAUAUUGUUGCUCUGUAUCUAUCACAGACACAUAACAUAGAACAACAAACAUUGCAGAUUCAAAGUGACAUGAGAUUCAAAAAUUAGCUGACCAUUAUCAGUCUAUAGUAACAUAGUAAUUCUUGGAAUAUUAACGUUAUCGUCGUAUACGAAUUAAAUAUGAGUGAUCGAAUUAUGUUUAAACCUUCACCAAGUGAGAGCGAAGAGAACGAGUAGGUAUUUUGUUAUAUGUCUUUCCUGAAACUUGCACUGCCAUUUUCCAAAUUCGCAUAUGGUUUUAGUCAAAGAAUACGAUAUCAACUAGAGUCAGGCUCAUUCUUCCAGAGCGACAGGGGCUGUACUGAAGUAAACCCACGGUGAUUCCCUACUUUUCUGAAAGAUGCAUUAGGUUCUUUAAAGUCCAUAAUUUGGCUAGCAAUUGGACUAUGUGCGUGGAAAGUCUCAAAUUAGAGCUGAAAGUUAACGGCAUAGGUUGAGGCGUUUCUGACUUACAACCCGACUCUGAACUAUUAAUGCAAAUCAAAAAAUAUUUUGUUAUAUUACUGUUAUUGUUAUAUUAACGCUUACAAUUAAAUUAAACAGUAUCAUUCCGUUAAUUUAAAAAAAUAAAUACAGUUAGACUUAAACAGCUUAACUCAUCAAGUACAUAAUUUCACAGGAAUCUAGUGUAUAUUUAUUCCACAAAAUAUAAUAAAGUGAUACUCAUGUAUUUUAUUGUUUAUAUUUAAAUCUCUACUAACAUGAAUACAUUUUAUUGCUUUUUGAAAACUAAGAUGAAACACUAGCAUCACAUUAACAGAAAGUUUGGAUAAAAAAUGUUAUGAAAUAUGCAUGUAUAAGUCAAAGGACAGAUAUUCUGUGUGUAUAUUCAGAACCGGUAAACAGGAUUAGACCAACCAUUUGCACCACUUCUAAGUGCACAUCGAGCAUUGCGUCUCCUGUGAAAAUUUUGUCUAUGCUUUAAUACCAAAUUACACUUUUCUAACAAAUGACCGUAAUUGCUGCUGUAGAGGCAUUUCGCAUUCACCAUUCAUUAAAAUUUAGUCGUGUCAGUACCUAGUCUUAAUUGUCGAAUACCGCUGAGAACUUCCUACUUAUUUCUGUAGAUUACAGACAACAAAAUACAGGAUUGGAAACUUUGGAAUGUUGUCUAAUGUAUGUACUCAUGUCAUACUAAUUGAAAACUCAACCAUCAUUUCGUUAAAAUACUUAUUAUUGAAAAUGUAUUAAUGCUGCUGACCACUCGAUAACUGAUUGACUUCUGAACAAGAACAACAGAAACAACGGUUCAAUUUUAAUAGAUAUGGUAUGAUCACUUUCAAGUAAUCUCUACAAAACAAUCCAGUUACACCUUCCUAAAAACUCCAGUUUGUUAAUUUUAGAAGUUGACAUCAUUACUUGAUGAUAAUAUUUUAUAACUUUAAAUGCAUGCUGGCAAGGUAUGCAAUGUUGUAUUUUAAUCCUAUAUGUAUAAACGAAAAUAAUUAAAACAGUUAUAAUUUCGCCAUCCAAUAGUUUCUUAUGCCACAAAAAAACACAAUGGACUCUUCCGCACAACCACGACCAUUCAAUAUUUUUGCUAAGGAAGUCCAUUGAAUGUGCUUAAAAUGCAUGUUCAUGAUUAGUUCAUUUCAUAUAUGUUGUCUCUAUAAAAAUACACACACGAAACAAUGAAGGUUUCGUAAAUCGACAAAACAGGAUUACCAAAAAGUAUGCUUAAAUACUGACCAGUGGCUCUCUAACCUGGUUGAGAAACAUAAACAUAAAAUCCAUUAAAAUGGGAUAAAAUUACUCUUAUAAUUACUCUUACAUAUAUUAAGUUAUAUAAAAAAUGUAUUAACAGGCCAAUAACAAGAAAAAAGAUAAUCAAUAUGAACUCACAGAUAUGAAACUGUUUGUCAUUCGUUUGCCUGUAAUUGUUACUUAAGUGGGAAAGAAAGAUUUUAUGAUUGUUGAAAAAUAUUUUUUAAGCUCAGAGGGUAAAGAGGAAAACAAAUUAAGAACUGUAUAUCAUAACAAAUUAGUGCUCUAACAUAAGAUUGCCAGUAUGGUGAGUAUUAUUUUUUCGUGUGUGCGUGUAUGUAUGGGUGUGUGUAUGUGUGUGUGUAUGUAGGCCUGUGUGUGUGUAUGUGUGUAUGGUUGCACGUACAUGUAUGCAUAAUAUGUAUGUACAGUAUAUGUAUAUAUAAAGCACUGUUUGUACCGAUUUUGUGUAUUUUGUGGGGGUGGGGGAAUGUGUGUGUAUGUACGUAUGUACGUAUGUACUGCAAUUAUUUUGGGCUUUUUGUUUUUCUACUUUGUACUCUUUUUGUAAGGGUCAAUUGAGACAAGCUUAACUGCUUCUUUAACUUGAUCCUUGUCAAUAGAGUUAUGUUAUUUAAAUUUAAUGAUUUUUGUUAUGUUUUUCCAUUAUUAUUUUUUCCAUUGAUUAAAUAAAUGUAUA